rnacentral:tRNA from 1 species
GGGCGGUUAGCUCAGUUGGUUAGAGUAUCACGUUGACAUCGUGAGGGUCACUGGUUCGAAUCCAGUACCGCCCACCA